rnacentral:rRNA from 1 species
UACAGAGGUCUCAAGCGUUGUUCGGAUUCAUUGGGCGUAAAGGGUGCGUAGGUGGCGCGCUAAGUCAGGGGUGAAAUUUCGGAGCUUAACUCCGAAACUGCAUUUGAUACUGGCGUGCUUGAGGACUGGAGAGGAGACUGGAAUUCAUGGUGUAGCAGUGAAAUGCGUAGAGAUCAUGAGGAACACCGGUGGCGAAGGCGGCAUCCUGGACCAACACUGACACUGAGGAGCGAAAGCCAGGGGAGCAAACGGG